rnacentral:rRNA from 1 species
GACGAACGCUGGCGGCGUGCUUAGCACAUACAAGUCGAACGGAAAGGCCCUGCUUUUGUGGGGUGCUCGAGUGGCGAACGGGUGAGUAACACGUGAGUAACCUGCCCUUGACUUUGGGAUAACUUCAGGAAACUGGGGCUAAUACCGGAUAGGAGCUCCUGCUGCAUGGUGGGGGUUGGAAAGUUUCGGCGGUUGGGGAUGGACUCGCGGCUUAUCAGCUUGUUGGUGGGGUAGUGGCUUACCAAGGCUUUGACGGGUAGCCGGCCUGAGAGGGUGACCGGCCACAUUGGGACUGAGAUACGGCCCAGACUCCUACGGGAGGCAGCAGUGGGGAAUAUUGCACAAUGGGCGGAAGCCUGAUGCAGCAACGCCGCGUGCGGGAUGACGGCCUUCGGGUUGUAAACCGCUUUCGCCUGUGACGAAGCGUGAGUGACGGUAAUGGGUAAAGAAGCACCGGCUAACUACGUG